GGCAGUUCUCAGGUGGCACACCCCGGAAUCAGGCUCCCUCCUCUCUGGUUCUGGGGUGCAUCACCCGAGAACCGCU
rfam:Myotis brandtii contig271482, whole genome shotgun sequence.